GUUUCUUUUUUACCUCCCCCAUGUUUUAUUUUCUAUUUAUUUAUUUCAUUUUUUUAAAGGCAGAAAUGGAGGGUGAUGGCGUCUUGUGUGUCAUCGAGCGCACACAGUGGGACGGGAUGAUGUAGGGAUAUAACAUUCAGACCGGAAUAUAAUAAAUGAAGGCGAGAGUGAGGGACGGAAAAAGAAAAGGAGACGGAGAUUUACACAAUAGAGAAAUGAGCAGAACAAUAGACACGCUCAUCUGCGCACUGCUUUCAUUUUAAAGCGGAUUUUUCCCCUGAUUUUUUUGUUGUUGUUGUUGACGAAUCCGAAUUGAAUACCUUGUUGGGAAGGAGUGUUUUUUUCUCCCAAGGGUGUUAAAUUAAGGCUGGGCUCGAGGAGAGAGAGAGAGAGAGAGAGAGAGAGAGAGAGAUUCACAGAUGAUUAUUUAAAGAGAAUAGUUGUUUUUCAUCUUUGCAGUUAUUAUUUACACCCAGUGCAAAACCUGCACACACUCCAGCUGCACGCGCCUGCUCAGUUUUAUUUAUUUAUUAUUAUUAAUAAUAAUAAUAUUAUUCAUUUUAAUAGUGAGUGUGUGUGUGUGUGCAGGAACACAUGUAAAGCGAGCGAGUGAGAGGGGACGAGAAAAGGGAAGGCUAGAAAAAAAGGAGAAAGAAACAAGGAAGCAAUCCCUCUAUUCCUCUCUCCAUCUGAGCGCCUGUGCCCUUUUUGGUGCAGAUAUUAUUAUUAUUAUUAUUAAUAACAAUAUUAUUAAUCAUUUCUGCAAGUGAAUUUAAUAAUUUCUAAUGCGCGCGCCGGGAGUAUGCGACUCGGCGCUAAUCACAGGUGAAAAAUGGCAUUAAUGAAUGAAAGGGUAGAGAUGGUGCUUCUUGGUAGUUCUCGGUACUCUCAUUGGUUCCUGACUUUUUG
ensembl:lncRNA